AUAAUGGGUCAGCGACUUAUAUUCUGUAGCAAGGUUAACCGAAUAGGGGAGCCGAAGGGAAACCGAGUCUUAACUGGGCGUUAAGUUGCAGGGUAUAGACCCGAAACCCGGUGAUCUAGCCAUGGGCAGGUUGAAGGUUGGGUAACACUAACUGGAGGACCGAACCGACUAAUGUUGAAAAAUUAGCGGAUGACUUGUGGCUGGGGGUGAAAGGCCAAUCAAACCGGGAGAUAGCUGGUUCUCCCCGAAAGCUAUUUAGGUAGCGCCUCGUGAAUUCAUCUCCGGGGGUAGAGCACUGUUUCGGCAAGGGGGUCAUCCCGACUUACCAACCCGAUGCAAACUGCGAAUACCGGAGAAUGUUAUCACGGGAGACACACGGCGGGUGCUAACGUCCGUCGUGAAGAGGGAAACAACCCAGACCGCCAGCUAAGGUCCCAAAGUCAUGGUUAAGUGGGAAACGAUGUGGGAAGGCCCAGACAGCCAGGAUGUUGGCUUAGAAGCAGCCAUCAUUUAAAGAAAGCGUAAUAGCUCACUGGUCGAGUCGGCCUGCGCGGAAGAUGUAACGGGGCUAAACCAUGCACCGAAGCUGCGGCAGCGACGCUGAUGCGUUGUUGGGUAGGGGAGCGUUCUGUAAGCCUGUGAAGGUGUGCUGUGAGGCAUGCUGGAGGUAUCAGAAGUGCGAAUGCUGACAUAAGUAACGAUAAAGCGGGUGAAAAGCCCGCUCGCCGGAAGACCAAGGGUUCCUGUCCAACGUUAAUCGGGGCAGGGUGAGUCGACCCCUAAGGCGAGGCCGAAAGGCGUAGUCGAUGGGAAACAGGUUAAUAUUCCUGUACUUGGUGUUACUGCGAAGGGGGGACGGAGAAGGCUAUGUUGGCCGGGCGACGGUUGUCCCGGUUUAAGCGUGUAGGCUGGUUUUCCAGGCAAAUCCGGAAAAUCAAGGCUGAGGCGUGAUGACGAGGCACUACGGUGCUGAAGCAACAAAUGCCCUGCUUCCAGGAAAAGCCUCUAAGCAUCAGGUAACAUCAAAUCGUACCCCAAACCGACACAGGUGGUCAGGUAGAGAAUACCAAGGCGCUUGAGAGAACUCGGGUGAAGGAACUAGGCAAAAUGGUGCCGUAACUUCGGGAGAAGGCACGCUGAUAUGUAGGUGAAGUCCCUCGCGGAUGGAGCUGAAAUCAGUCGAAGAUACCAGCUGGCUGCAACUGUUUAUUAAAAACACAGCACUGUGCAAACACGAAAGUGGACGUAUACGGUGUGACGCCUGCCCGGUGCCGGAAGGUUAAUUGAUGGGGUCAGCGCAAGCGAAGCUCUUGAUCGAAGCCCCGGUAAACGGCGGCCGUAACUAUAACGGUCCUAAGGUAGCGAAAUUCCUUGUCGGGUAAGUUCCGACCUGCACGAAUGGCGUAAUGAUGGCCAGGCUGUCUCCACCCGAGACUCAGUGAAAUUGAACUCGCUGUGAAGAUGCAGUGUACCCGCGGCAAGACGGAAAGACCCCGUGAACCUUUACUAUAGCUUGACACUGAACAUUGAGCCUUGAUGUGUAGGAUAGGUGGGAGGCUUUGAAGUGUGGACGCCAGUCUGCAUGGAGCCGGCCUUGAAAUACCACCCUUUAAUGUUUGAUGUUCUAACGUUGACCCGUGAUCCGGGUUGCGGACAGUGUCUGGUGGGUAGUUUGACUGGGGCGGUCUCCUCCUAAAGAGUAACGGAGGAGCACGAAGGUUGGCUAAUCCUGGUCGGACAUCAGGAGGUUAGUGCAAUGGCAUAAGCCAGCUUGACUGCGAGCGUGACGGCGCGAGCAGGUGCGAAAGCAGGUCAUAGUGAUCCGGUGGUUCUGAAUGGAAGGGCCAUCGCUCAACGGAUAAAAGGUACUCCGGGGAUAACAGGCUGAUACCGCCCAAGAGUUCAUAUCGACGGCGGUGUUUGGCACCUCGAUGUCGGCUCAUCACAUCCUGGGGCUGAAGUAGGUCCCAAGGGUAUGGCUGUUCGCCAUUUAAAGUGGUACGCGAGCUGGGUUUAGAACGUCGUGAGACAGUUCGGUCCCUAUCUGCCGUGGGCGCUGGAGAACUGAGGGGGGCUGCUCCUAGUACGAGAGGACCGGAG
rnacentral:rRNA from 1 species